rnacentral:misc_RNA from 1 species
CAACCCUCAAGCCUGGCUUGGUAUUGGGCUUCGCCACUAACCUGGCGGGCCUUAAAAUCAGUGGCGGUGCCUCCGAGGCCCUGAGCGCAGUAAAUAUCCUCGCUAUAGGGACCCGGUGGUUACUGGCCAGCAACCCCAACUUUCUAA